ensembl:lncRNA LOC108352947 uncharacterized LOC108352947
GCAGAAUUCCAGGUCUUGGCAUCUGUGUUUCAAGCAGGAGGGAGAAGGAAAAGGGUUAGGGUUGGUGGGUAGGCUCAGUGCGUAGGUAGGAUGCUUGCCUCAGACACACAAGGCCCCCAACACAACCCAAGCUGGCAGUGGUGAGAUAUAAAUGCCACUUGGUGUCAUGGUUAGUUUUUGUCAACUUGACACAAACCUAGACACACCAGGGAAGAAGAACUCUCAACUGAGGAAGAACCUUCAUUGGAUUGGCCAUUGGUAUCCCUACUCUAUUCUGCCAGGUAGUGGAAAUGUAAUCUCAGUCAUCAAAACAAUACAAAGCCAACCGACCGACCGACCACCAACCAACCAAUCAACCAACCAACCAAUCAACCAAUUGAAAAACAGCAGUGCUAUGUAAAGUGCAUGUAGGUGCCUUUGAAGGCCAGAAGAAGACGUCGGAUUCUGAGGAGCUGGAGUUACAGAUGGAUGUUAGCUGCCUCACAGAGAUGCUGGGAACCGAACUCAGGUGCUUUGUAACUUGCAGACAGCUAGGACCUGGAAAAAGCCUCCCAUUUUAAAGGCCGAGGUCCCCGGUUAGAAGGACCAGAUGGGACUAUUGACUGCAAGCAGGAGCUGAGAGUGUCAUCCCUAGCUCUUACUCCUCUUUCAUGAUCCCUGUUGGAUUUUCAUACAAAUUACCUCUCCCGGGGGCAUUUUCUCUCUGCCCUUCCCCAGUGUGCUUUCCCAGGCUUCAGGCUUUGUGUGUAUUUGCAAGAUACACACAGCGAAGGCAAAGCUCAGACUCCUGUUUUCUGUGAAUACUGUGUUCAGUCCGGUCCCCGCAGCCCCACCCUGACGGCACAGCCUUCUCUUGUUGCCCAAGUAUUUCUCUGAGCCCUGGGAACAGGGCAGGACGGCUAGCAGAGGGUGAGCAAACAGACGGGGAGCCGCAUUUAACACCAUCUGCCACUUCCACCGAGGUCAAUGGGAUAAACCGAUUUGCUAAACAAAAUGGUUAACAACUCAUGAAUAAAAACUUGAAGAAAAAUUCCAAAAGGGAUUUCCAUACCGUUCCUAGUCUACAGUUCGCUCAUCUUUGGCACAGCCCAGGCCCCACAACUGCUUUUGAUCAUGCACUUUUCUUGGAUUCCAGUAGGGGGCAGCUGCCAUUAGGUCUGGAGAGAGAACUCAUUUAUAAAACCUUUCUAAAAAUCCCGUGAGAGGUUCGCCUUCCACAGGGACAAGCCACCUGAGUGGUUAGCAACACCAAGUGGUCAGUUUGAAAAACAUAUGCAUCUAAGCGUCACUAAAUGGACUCAGCAGGCUGUAUUAUUAAUUCAUCCAUUUAUGUAUGCACCAAUAACAAUGAAAGGAAAAGAAGCGGUGAUUUUUGAAAGAAG